rnacentral:rRNA from 1 species
AUUGAACGCUGGCGGCAUGCCUUACACAUGCAAGUCGAACGGUAACAGGCCGCAAGGUGCUGACGAGUGGCGAACGGGUGAGUAAUGCAUCGGAACGUGCCCAGUCGUGGGGGAUAACGCAGCGAAAGCUGUGCUAAUACCGCAUACGAUCUAUGGAUGAAAGCGGGGGACCGUAAGGCCUCGCGCGAUUGGAGCGGCCGAUGUCAGAUUAGGUAGUUGGUGGGGUAAAGGCCCACCAAGCCAACGAUCUGUAGCUGGUCUGAGAGGACGACCAGCCACACUGGGACUGAGACACGGCACAGACUCCUACGGGAGGCAGCAGUGGGGAAUUUUGGACAAUGGGCGCAAGCCUGAUCCAGCAAUGCCGCGUGCAGGAAGAAGGCCUUCGGGUUGUAAACUGCUUUUGUACGGAACGAAACGGUCUGGGUUAAUACCCUGGGCUAAUGACGGUACCGUAAGAAUAAGCACCGGCUAACUACGUGCCAGCAGCCGCGGUAAAAC